UCGCUGACACUUUUUCCAAACAAGGCGUAGUUGUAAUCGUUCCCUCCAAUCUCCCCAAUCAAAACCAGAGAAGACUGGAGCCUCUUGCGUAUAUCUGCAGACACAAAUGUCACGUGUAAAUAUUGUCGCACAUGACACAGUGCUGAAGGUGGACUUCAUGAAGUCCUUGAACCACCUAAGCUGCACAUUAAGGGAGUUAGAAGAGAAAGGCGCGAAGAAUCUCCCGUUGAACUGAUCGGUAGGGUCCAUUGCAGUGGCUCCAGCGACGGCGAAGUUUACUCCAUGGUCGAAGCUCUUGUUCUUGCCCAGAUAUCUUGAAAACUAAUGCAUCAGUUCAGAGUUCUGACUUCAGAAAGAUGAGCAAUUCAGUCAGUAUUCAGAGUUUCAGACAUUCAGUAGUUAACUGUGCAUACCGAGGAAAUCGAUCAUGAGGAGGCCAUCAGAGC